rnacentral:rRNA from 1 species
AGCUCGUGUCGUGAGAUGUUGGGUUAAGUCCCGCAACGAGCGCAACCCUUGUCUUUAGUUACCAUCAUUCAGUUGGGGACUCUAGAGAGACUGCCGGUGAUAAACCGGAGGAAGGUGGGGAUGACGUCAAGUCAGCAUGGCCUUUAUAUCCUGGGCUACACACACGCUACAAUGGGAAGGGACAAUAGGUUGCGAAGCCGCGAGGCGGAGCCAAUCCAGCAAAACUUCCCUCAGUUCAGAUUGCAGGCUGCAACCCGCCUGCAUGAAGUUGGAGUUGCUAGUAAACGCAGGUCAGCCAUACUGCGUUGAAUACGUUCCCGGGGCUU